rnacentral:rRNA from 1 species
UACGUAGGGCGCGAGCGUUGUCCGGAAUUAUUGGGCGUAAAGAGCUCGUAGGCGGCUUGUCACGUCGGGUGUGAAAGCCCCGGGGCUUAACCCCGGGUCUGCAUUCGAUACGGGCUAGCUAGAGUGUGGUAGGGGAGAUCGGAAUUCCUGGUGUAGCGGUGAAAUGCGCAGAUAUCAGGAGGAACACCGGUGGCGAAGGCGGAUCUCUGGGCCAUUACUGACGCUGAGGAGCGAAAGCGUGGGGAGCGAACAGG